rnacentral:rRNA from 1 species
UGAUUCAGACCUUGGUGAGUGGCGGACGGGUGAGUAACACGUGGGUAACCUGCCCAAAAGUGGGGGAUAACAUCUGGAAACAGGUGCUAAUACCGCAUAACAACUACUUUCACAUGAUCGUAGCUUGAAAAGAUGGCUCUGCUAUCGCUUUUGGAUGGACCCGCGGCGUAUUAGCUAGAUGGUGAGGGUAACGGCUCACCAUGGCAAUGAUACGUAGCCCGACCUGAGAGGGUAAUCGGCCACAUUGGGACUGAGACACGGCCCAAACUCC